UACGUAGGCAGCAAGCGUUGUUCGGAGUUACUGGGCGUAAAGGGUGUGUAGGCGGUUGGUUAAGUUUGGUGUGAAAUCUCCCGGCUCAACUGGGAGGGUGCGCCGAAUACUGAAUGACUAGAGUGCGGGAGAGGUGAGUGGAAUUCCUGGUGUAGCGGUGAAAUGCGUAGAUAUCAGGAGGAACACCGGUGGUGUAGACGGCUCACUGGACCGUAACUGACGCUGAAACACGAAAGCGUGGGUAGCAAACAGG
rnacentral:rRNA from 1 species